rnacentral:rRNA from 1 species
AUUGAACGCUGGCGGCGUGCUUAACACAUGCAAGUCGAACGCGAAAGGGACUUCGGUCCUGAGUAAAGUGGCGCACGGGUGAGUAACGCGUGGAUAAUCUGCCCUUAUGAUUGGAAUAACAGUUGGAAACGGCUGCUAAUACCGGAUACGCUCAAAAUGAACUUUUUGAGGAAAGAUGGCCUCUGCUUGCAUGCUAUCGCAUAAGGAUGAGUCCGCGUCCCAUUAGCUUGUUGGCGGGGUAACGGCCCACCAAGGCAACGAUGGGUAGCCGAUUUGAGAGGAUGAUCGGCCACACUGGAACUGAAACACGGUCCAGACUCCUACGGGAGGCAGCAGUGGGGAAUAUUGCGCAAUGGGCGAAAGCCUGACGCAGCGACGCCGCGUGAGGGAUGAAGGUUUUCAGAUCGUAAACCUCUGUCAGAAGGGAAGAAACUACGUUAGUGCUAAUCAGCAGCGUACUGACGGUACCUUCAAAGGAAGCACCGGCUAACUCCGUG